AGUGAACGCUGGCGGUAGGCCUAACACAUGCAAGUCGAACGGCAGCACAGUAAGAGCUUGCUCUUACGGGUGGCGAGUGGCGGACGGGUGAGGAAUACAUCGGAAUCUACUUUUUCGUGGGGGAUAACGUAGGGAAACUUACGCUAAUACCGCAUGCGACCUACGGGUGAAAGCAGGGGAUCUUCGGACCUUGCGCGAUUGAAUGAGCCGAUGUCGGAUUAGCUAGUUGGCGGGGUAAAGGCCCACCAAGGCGACGAUCCGUAGCUGGUCUGAGAGGAUGAUCAGCCACACUGGAACUGAGACACGGUCCAGACUCCUACGGGAGGCAGCAGUGGGGAAUAUUGGACAAUGGGCGGAAGCCUGAUCCAGCCAUACCGCGUGGGUGAAGAAGGCCUUCGGGUUGUAAAGCCCUUUUGUUGGGAAAGAAAAGCAGCAGGUUAAUACCCCGCUGUUCUGACGGUACUCAAAGAAUAAGCACCGGCUAACUUCGUG
rnacentral:rRNA from 1 species